rnacentral:rRNA from 1 species
AUGCGCCGCCGCCCACCAUCUUCCCCCACCGUCUGCCUGCUUUGCCACCGCCCCCACCUUCUCCCCCUCGGCGCAGCACAUCUGAAACGAAUGAGCGCAGCACCUCCUCUCCCGGAUUCCGUCGCAUCCCGUGGUCGCCGCCCUCGUCUCCCUCGGCGCGGCGCUUCCCCACCGACGACCUCGAUGCCCAUCCCCCCACCGGCGCCGCCCCCACCAACCUUCUCUCUCUCUCUCUUCCCUUGGCCGGCGCACGCUUGUGGAGGCAGACCCGCGACGCGCCACCUCCGCCCCGUCGUCGUCGGCGGCUGCUCGUCAACGGCCGUGGUCCAGAAGCACAGCUUCGCCUGGCCGCGACGGAUCUGCGCAAGGGCCGCGCUGGGCGAGGAGCCCCCAUGCUCGGCCGCCACUUGGUUCGCUCCUCUUCUUUCGGCCACCGGGAGAGGACCUCGUGACGGCGAUGCUACCGGAUCCGCGACGGAGGUGCUCGAGGUCGCGCGCAGCGACAGGAGGCCGAAAUGUUUUGUUGUGGAGACCACGGAUGGGACUAUCGCAGUUGCUUCUGUGUUUCGCGGGCAUCAGGAAGCGGUACAUUACAGGGAUCACAAGUUCUUGUCGAAAGCGGUAGAAGAGGGAGUUAACUGUGGCCAUGGAGGCCUGUUUGGCUCCGACGCCAUGGAUGCCGCUGCGCUCUCUCAUCGUCCUCCUCCCUGA